rnacentral:rRNA from 1 species
CCUGGUUGAUCCUUCCAAUAGUCAUAUGCUUGUCUCAAAUAUUAAGCCAUGCAUGUCUAAGUAUGAACUAAUUCAGACUGUGAAACUACGGAUGGCUCAUUAAAUAAAUUAUAGUUUCUUUGAUGGUACCCUACUACUUAGAUAACCAUAGUAAUUCUAAAGAUAAUACGUGCACCAAGUCUCGACUCUUUGGAAGGGAUGCAUUUAUUAGAUAAAAGGUCGGUGCGGGCUUGCUCGCUUCUUCAAAGAAUCAUGAUAACUCGAGGGAUUACACAACCCUUGUGCUGGCGAUGCUUCAUUCAAAUUUAUUCCCUAUCAACUUUCGAUGGUAGGAUAGAGGCCUAACAUGGUGGUGAUGGGUGAUGGAGAAUUAGGGUUCAAUUCUAGAGAGGGAGCCUGAGAAAUGGCUACCACAUCCAAGGAAGGUAGUAGACAUGCAAAUUACCCUAUCUUGAUAAGGGGAGGUAGUGAAAAUAAAUAACAAUAAUGGGCUCGUCGAGUAUGGUAAUUGGAAUGAGUACAAUCUAAAUCCCUUAAUGAGGAUCCAUUGGAGGGCAAUUCUGGUGCCAAAAACUGCGGUAAUUCUAGCUCCAAUAGCGUAUAUUUAAGUUGUUGCAGUUAGAAAGCUCGUAGUUGGAUCUUGGUUCGUAAAGGUCGGUCCUCCUACUCAGUGUGCACCUUCCCUUCCGUCCCUUUUUUUGGUAGCAUGCUCAUGGCCUUAAUUGGCUGGGUCGUGGUUCUGGUGUUGUUACUUUGAAAAAAUUAGAGUGCUCAAAGAAAGAUUUUUCUCUGAAUAACUAGCAUGUAAUAACGCGAUAGGAGUCUGGUCCUAUUGUGGUGGCCUUCGGGACCAAAGUAAUGAUUAAUCGAUACUGUCGAGGGAAUUCAUAUUUCAUUGUCAGAGGUGAAAUUCUUGGAUUUAGGAAAGAUGAAUCAUUGCGAAAGCAUUUGCCAAGGAUGUUUUCAUUAAUCAAGAACAAAAGUUGGGGGCUCGAAUAUGAUUAGAUACUGUCCUUGUCUAAACCAUAAACGAUGCCGACCAGGGAUCGACGGAUGUUUCUCUAAGGAAUCCACCAGGACCUUCUAAAAAAUUAGAGUGUUUGGGUUCCAGGGGGAGUAUGGUUGCAAGGAUGAAAAUUAAAGGAGUUGAUGGAAGGUCACCACCAGGAGUGGAGCCUGCGGCUUAAUUUGACUCAACACAGGAAAACUUACUAGGUCUAGACAUAGUUAGGAUUGACAGAUUGAGAGCUGUUUAUUGAUUCUAUGGGUGGUGGUGCAUGGUUGUUCCUAGUUGGUGGAGUGAUUUGUCUGGUUAAUUUCGAUAACGAAUGAGACCUCAGCCUGCUAAAUAGAUACACAGAGGUUCCCCUUCACAAACAACUUCUUAGAGGGACUAUGGUCAUUUAGGCCAUGGAAUUUUGACGCAAUAAUAGGUCUGUGAUGCCCUUAGAUGUUCUGGGCUGCACGUGCGCUACACUGAUGCAGUCAACGAGUUUUUCUCCCUGGUUCGAGAGGAUCGGGAAAUCUUCUGAAAUUGCAUCAUGAUGGGGAUAGACCAUUGCAAUUAUUGGUCUUCAACGAAGAAUUACUAGUAAGCGCGUAGUGAAUUUGUGUCUUUUGCCCCCCUGGUCGGAUAACUUGUGCUUGUUUUUCCUUUUCUCCAUUGGAAGGGGGAAUUGUGGGGAAUCGGUGUUUUGGAGGGGGGAUGAAAGCAACGCGCUCUUGGGUUGAACACCCUAGUCCCCCCUUGAUC